UUAAUCAUUAAAUCUUCUACACACACACUUCCUUCACACAACACAAGAUCAAAUUCAUCUCUCUCUUCCCUCUUGAUACCUCAUGGCCGAACACCCCUUCACACAUACACAUUCAAAAUUUCCAACCUUUCCAUGAAGAAUCAAGAGUUUUCCAAGAUGAUUCCAAGCUAAAAAGGGUGUUUGGAAGUGAUUUCAAGCAAGAACAACCUCCAUAUCAUCAUCUAUUCUCAAAAACCCAUCUAAAAAUCUUGAAGGUAUAACCUUGUUUUUAAAUCAUGUUCUUGAUUCAUAGUGAUGAUGGAGAUGUUAGAUGGACGUGUAGAAAAUCAAUCUAUGGGAUUGCGCUAUUAAAAUACGCACCCAAAGGUGAGUGUCACUAAACCCCUCUUUUUACUGCUUUGUAUAUAUUUUGGGGGUAGAACACGUCAACAAAAGGGUUUAAUAAUGUUUUUGAAAUUAAACAUACCUUUUAAUAUAAAAUAUAUAUUUUCGUUGAAAAUAUAUAAAAUUUGAUAAGGCAUACGUUUCGAAGUAAAAACGUUUUUGAUGAAUAAAUGUUGGACAUUGGGAUGAUACGGUAUUUCCUAGGCGAAACAUGACCGUAUAGUUGGGACGGAUGCCGGUCUGGGUCUCGAAUGAUGUAGAUUUAGGGGAUUCGUACAACAUCGUGUAUUAAAUUGUCAUAUUAGUAGGAUAUAUAUAUUGUACGUGAGGCAGACAUCAUAUUAUCCUUUAAGAGGACCCUGUGCCCAUCAUGUCGUUUAAUUAUUUAAGUAUUGCACGCGAGGAAUUGUUGGUAGAUCUAUCGGGUUGACAACCCCGUCGUGACCGGUCGCCCCGUGUCGACGAAUUGAUAUUCUGUUUAUUGUCUACCUUUGAUUUUCCCUGCAUGGUUAAUAUAUAGUUCGUAUUGUCUAGCUAACAUAUGAGUCUGAAAAUUGACGCAAUAAUUUAAUAUACAAAACCUGGGCAAUAUAUUACAGUUGUCGGAUUGAUGAACCGACGGAAGGCCCAUGGAUUUUAUUAAGAAAGUAAAAUGGACUUUCUAAAAUUUAUAUGGAUGUUUUCAGAUAAACACCUAAUCAGAAAGUUUUCCUUGGAAUAAAAUUGUUUGUAAGUGAAUAUGUGAACUCACCUUCCUUUGUGUUGACACUUGAUUUUAACGUGUUCUACAGAUACUUGAGUUCGGCUUCGGGAAAUCAUGGCGUAUCUUGUUGAUGUGCGUAUUAGUGUAUAUAUGUUUUAGGUAUAUAUUUUAAACCCUUUUUACACUUUUUAGCCAAGUUUUAAAUUUAUAAAACACAAUAUUUAAUAACACUAAACACACAUAUGGGCAAGUGCACCCAUCGUGGACGUAGUAUAGUGUUGGUAAGAUACCGAGGUCCUCCAAGGACACAAGAGCUUUUAGUACCGGUUUAUCCUCAACGUCUAAUCAAAUCAAAAUGUUAGAAAAAGAUUUUUAAACUAAGAAAAUAAAACUAACUAAAAUGUU
rnacentral:lncRNA from 1 species